rnacentral:misc_RNA from 1 species
CUGCAGCAGUGUGCAGUGAGAUGUAUAUAAUUUUAGGCUGUUUACAUUUCUUGUUAUAUGUUGUUUUAAUUGAAUUUCCUUUUUUCUAGAUGUUUAAUUUCUGCAUCUUUUUCUUAAUCCUUUUCUACAUAAAGUCCCAUAGGGCAGGUUAUGUGUUAAUGUAUAGGCAUAGAGAAAUCCAAGCCAAAGAGCAAACUGUACGUCUACCCUAUAUUGUUCCGAUUUGAAUAGGUUAAUCAAGUUCAUUGUCUGGUUUUCUGUUAAGACAUGGUAGAGUACCAGCAACUCUAAUUGGGAAACAAUAAGUAACUUAAGAACAUAGCAAAAGAAUAAUCUAUGUUGGUUCAGUUUCUGCAUGCUUUAUAUAGAGAGAAAAAGCUUUCAGCUAUCAGUUUUAUCAAAGUUUUCAUAGAGAGAGAGCGACAGAGAUUCAGAGAAAGAGAUAGAACUCCUAAGUUGUACUUUUGACAAGCUUCUCAUCUAGAUUUUACAAGUGAGCUAUAUAGGGUGUAAUCUGCUUAAAGCCUCCAAUUGUAUUUUAUCUCAAUCUUGGUUCGUCUGGGAUGAUGAAAUAAAGCACCAUUUCACAUAAGCCAACACCAUUUUUGUGAAUAUAUUUCUUUUGGAGUGUAUUGACUUUGAAACUCCGCAUUGGUUACCGAGGGUAAAGUGCGGCAGUCACAAUAAAAUACAAGUGCUUAAAGCAGUUCGUGACAGACACCAGCAGUCCUGGCUUUUAGGAGAAACUGAGAGGGAAGAUGUCGGCUAUAGAAGAGUCUAACUUAGUAGAAGAGAUACGUGAAGAUAGAUCUACUCGAAGUGGGAUAAGUGUUCACAGUAUGAAGAGUAGAACUAGCCAAGUGGCAAAGAGUCAUGCAAGUUCUCUUCAGUCAGUGAAGAGUGAGAGACUGUCCAUUAAGAAACAUGAAGCCUCUCUUAAAGUUAAGCAGUCAUUUGAAGGUGACCAUCUAAAACUGUUGCAGCAAGAAACAGAAGUCGAACAACUUUUUAGAAAGCGACGGAUAGCUCUUCAACAGCAACUAGAUAAGGAAGAAGCUACCUUCAAACGGCAACAGAAGGAGAUUGCAAUGAGAAAGGAUCGCCUAGCUAGACGCGAGCGUUUAGCUCAAUUGAGUGCCAUAAAGCAAGUAUUAGAGGAAUUUGAAGAUGAAGAAUUGGGCGAAAGUGAUUCAGAGAUUUCAUUUAGAGGAAUGAGAAAGGAAGAGAAGAGUGAGGGAAUGCAGAGAUUCUUUGAUUCCCAAGAAAAGAUCCACCCCCAUCAGUCAGAAAAGACAGGAGUUCAUCAGAAAACCGAGGCGAUAUCUGAUCUAAGUAACCCAUGGGUGCCACCUGGGUUGGACAGUUUAGUAUCAUCGCUAGAAGCUUCUGUUGCCCAAAUCACCCGCAUUGCUAUUGGACAAAGUGAAGUAAGUAACCAGUUGGCAGCAACUAGCCAACUACCAAAGAUCGAUGUUCCAAUGUUUAGUGGUGAACCGAUGAAUUAUCCUUUGUGGAAGAAUGCAUUUGAUUGCAUGGUGGAUGCUAAGCCAAUCAGUGACUCUAAUAAAUUGAACUAUUUGAACACCUACGUUUGUGGAAAGGCUAAAGAAAUUGUUGAACACUAUUUGUUAUUAGGAGAGGACGAUGGUUAUCAGAAGGCUCGUGCAGAAAUUGAUAGUAGGUUUGGCAACCCAAGUGCUCUCAGUGUUGCUUACACCAGAAAGCUCUGUUCAUGGCCAAGUAUUGAAAGUAAAGAUGCAAGUGGAUUGAGAGACUUUUCCGACUUCUUGCAGAAGGUCUUGUCAGCCAAGACGAAGGUCAAGAACCUUGGAAUCCUGGACUUUCCCCAAGAGAAUGCAAAGCUUGUAGCAAAGUUGCCAGAGUACUUGGAAGAUGAAUGGCGAGAGGAAAUAGAAAGCUGGCGCGAGACUAAUAGCCCCCAAAGUUAUCCCUCGUUCUCGUGUUUCGUUGGUUUUGUGAAGAAAGCAGCUGACAGAGCGAACAUUCCCGAGUUGGAACCUUUAAGGUUAAACCUAUCAAAGCGAGCUCAAAACGAAAAUGCACGGAUUUUUUCUAUCUCUGGGAUGGAGGAUGUAAAUUCGACAUGUCCUUUCUGUGAUGGAAGCCAUCACCUCGAAUCAUGUGCAAGUUUCAUGAUGAAACCUAUCGCAGAAAGGAAAUUAUUCUUCUUUAAGAGAAUGUUGUGUUUUGGUUGUGCUCUUACAUGUGAACAUCGUGGUAGGGAAUGUAUGCACAAGAGAAUGUGUAGAAUCUGUAGAGGCAGACACCUAACAUGUCUACAUGAAGAUAGGUCAAAGAAGACAGAAGACCAGGGAAUUCCCGAUCAAGGAGCCAACAACACAAAAUGAACAUUUGAUAUAUUCUUUGUUUUCCGCUAUCUUCUCUCUUUCAAUCUAUUCUUUCCCUUUUCUCGUUUCGUUUCUUUUCCAUUAUUAGUCUAAUCAUUUCGCUAGAGUUGUCAUUUCAGUUUUUCAUAUGGUUUUGAUCUUUCCUGUUUGUCUAGUUUUCUUGUUCACAUUCUAGUCUUAUUCUUCUUUCUAGUGUUAUAGCUAUCUUUACUUCCAGUUUUUUUUUAUACAUAUGCACAAGUAAUUGAUUAGAUUUCCUUUGUUUGUUGAAUCUGCUGACAUGCGUGCAGUUACAAUAUAUGAUGUUAUACUUAAUGCUUAAUGCCAAUAAUAUUUCUUAGUGUAUCCAAAGUAGUUUAAGAAGAUAAUAAUGUCUUAAUUUUGUUGUGCCUGGCAGCAACGGGAUUGGAAUGUUAUGGUUCACAUUUGUUUUGUUAAGUUCAAUGAUGAUAGGUGAUCAGUUAAAGUAUCUUACAUGUUCAUAUGGUUUUGAGUUUAUUGGUUGAUUUGAGAUAUUCAGACAUAAUUGAUAAUGUGUGUGUUUUAGUUAGGUAACUGAUGGCAAUCAGUUAAAGGAGCCAUGUCACUGCAGCAGUGUGCAGUGAGAUGUAUGUAAUUUUAGGCUGUUUACAUUUCUUGUUAUAUGUUGUUUUAAUUGAAUUUCCACUUUCCUAGAUGUUUCAUUUCUGCAUCUUUUUCUUAAUCCUUUUCUACAUAAAGUCCCAUAGGGCAGGUUAUGUGUUAAGGUAUAGGCAUAGAGAAAUCCAAGCCAAAGAGCAAACUGUACGUCUACCCUAUAUUGUUCCGAUUUGAAUAGGUUAAUCAAGUUCAUUGUCUGGUUUUCUGUUAAGACAUGGUAGAGUACCAGCAACUCUAAUUGGGAAACAAUAAGUAACUUAAGAACAUAGCAAAAGAAUAAUCUAUGUUGGUUCAGUUUCUGCAUGCUUUAUAUAGAGAGAAAAAGCUUUCAGCUAUCAGUUUUAUCAAAGUUUUCAUAGAGAGAGAGCGACAGAGAUUCAGAGAAAGAGAUAGAACUCCUAAGUUGUACUUUUGACAAGCUUCUCAUCUAGAUUUUACAAGUGAGCUAUAUAGGGUGUAAUCUGCUUAAAGCCUCCAAUUGUAUUUUAUCUCAAUCUUGGUUCGUCUGGGAUGAUGAAAUAAAGCACCAUUUCACAUAAGCCAACACCAUUUUUGUGAAUAUAUUUCUUUUGGAGUGUAUUGACUUUGAAACUCCGCAUUGGUUACCGAGGGUAAAGUGCGGCAGUCACA